CAGGCUACAUUAGCAUGACAGUAAUGUAAGGGGUUGAAUGAACUGUGCUUCAGGAAUGGUGAGACAGCAGCUAUUCAGCUGAGGCCUUGUAGCGUGUUUUACUAGACAAACACUGUAGAAUCCCCUUUAACAGUCUACUGGUGUAGUUGUGAGUUUUUACUGUCCUGCUGAAUGUUUCUCCUGCUUUCUCUCAACCACUGAACACAACCCAUGUUAUGGUCUGAAAGACUUUGUUUCCACCAGGAGGAAGAGGAGGAGCUGAUCUGUUCCUGAUCUCUAAAGAGACUCAAACUUCCUCCUUCAGUUCAGUUCAACUCUCCAACAUUAACUCUGCUCAACAUGGACUAUUAUGGUCUGUCUCUGCUCAUCAUCUCUCUGCUAACAGGUAUCAGCUGUGAUCAACUUACUCCUCAUGAGGAGGAACUCUUCAGUUUAGAAAGCAGCUUUGUUAAUCUGUCCUAUACAUUUUCAAGACGAGCUGCAAAUGAUUAUUUCUUCUGGUAUCGACAAUAUCCUGGAAAACCUCCAGACUUCCUGAUCUCCCACUCAGGAACAGGAGCUCCAAUGUCAACGCCGCUUCCUGGUUUCUCCUUCAAGAUGAAUGAUGAUAAAACCCAGAUGGAUCUGCUGAUCUCCUCUGCUGCAGUGACAGACUCUGCUGUGUACUACUGCGCUGUGAGGCCCACAGUGACAGGAAACACCAGAACCCUGUACAAAAACCUGCAGUACUCCACAGCAGCCACUAGAGGGCCUCACUGCCUGUUAAUCUACUGGUUGUUGAGUCUUUGGACUGAAGACAAAGACAACAGAGACAUGAAGCAGUAAAGAUCAGAGACAGAGCUGCUGAGGAAGCAGAAUGAAUAUAAUUUCCUCUCUGACCGUGUGGGGCUGCCCAGCAGACCCCCCGCUGCUUUGCAAGCUAGAUGUGGCAAUCCGGUGAGGCUCAUUGUGAAGGAGGUACUCCAUCCUCAGUGCAGGUCAUACAUGAUUUCUGGACCUUUUAGCCAUUUGGCUCCCAUACAUCUUUAUUUGGCUGCCUACUAAUUGCAAAUGGAUACAUUUCAAACUCAGGUGAGAAGACAGGAGGAUACUGAUUGACAAUUCCUGCAAAAGCAGAGCACCCAAAGAAGGAUAUUUACCAUAAACCUCCCAUCAGUGCGUCCCAUCGCUGGUAGCCCCAAACCCAAAGCCCUGUUACCUUGUAGCAAAUGAUGCACAGGAUGAAAAAUGAGUGAGGGGAGGGAGACGUUCAAAUGUAGCAGUUUCUGAAACUCUGCACAAGGAACACUGAUGUGUGUCUGAUCAAACUCUGCACAAAAACCUGCAGUACUCCCCAGCAGCCACUAGAGGGCCUCUCUCCCUGUUAAUCCACUGGUUGUUGAGUCUUUGGACUGAAGACAAAGACAACAGAGACAUGAAGCAGUAAAGAUCAGAGACAGAGCUGCUGAGGAAGCAGAAAACUCUCUGAUUGGUUGAGUUGAAGUGGCCCCGCCCACUGACCUUCAGCUCAUCCAAUGACAUAAUUUCUUCCUCCUUCUGCUGCAGUGGAAGAACAUUGUUGAUCUGCAGUGUGGCUCUAAGGACUCCAAAGACAUG